rnacentral:rRNA from 1 species
AGGGAAUCUUCGGCAAUGGACGGAAGUCUGACCGAGCAACGCCGCGUGAGUGAAGAAGGUUUUCGGAUCGUAAAGCUCUGUUGUAAGAGAAGAACGAGUAUGAGAGUGGAAAGUUCAUACUGUGACGGUAUCUUACCAGAAAGGGACGGCUAACUACGUGCCAGCAGCCGCGGUAAUACGUAGGUCCCGAGCGUUGUCCGGAUUUAUUGGGCGUAAAGCGAGCGCAGGCAGUUAGAUAAGUCUGAAGUUAAAGGCUGUGGCUUAACCAUAGUACGCUUUGGAAACUGUUUAACUUGAGUGCAAGAGGGGAGAGUGGAAUUCCAUGUGUAGUGGUGAAAUGCGUAGAUAUAUGGAGGAACACCGGUGGCGAAAGCGGCUCUCUGGCUUGUAGCUGACGCUGAGGCUCGAAAGCGUGGGGAGCAAACAGGAUUAGAUACCCUGGUAGUCCACGCCGUAAACGAUGAGUGCUAGGUGUUAGACCCUUUCCGGGGUUUAGUGCCGUAGCUAACGCAUUAAGCACUCCGCCUGGGGAGUACGACCGCAAGGUUG